ACACCCGGGGUAGGUACCCGUUAAACGUUACCGGUAACCCGAAAAGGGAGGCGUCGCCGUAGGGGUAAAACUGGUGACUGGGGCU
rnacentral:rRNA from 1 species